rnacentral:rRNA from 1 species
UACGAAGGGGGCUAGCGUUGCUCGGAAUUACUGGGCGUAAAGCGCACGUAGGCGGACUGUUAAGUCAGGGGUGAAAUCCCGAGGCUCAACCUCGGAACUGCCUUUGAUACUGGGGAUCUCGAGUCCGGGAGAGGUGAGUGGAACUGCGAGUGUAGAGGUGAAAUUCGUAGAUAUUCGGAAGAACACCAGUGGCGAAGGCGACUUACUGGACACAUAUUGACGCUGAGGUGCGAAAGCGUGGGGAGCAAACAGG